rnacentral:rRNA from 1 species
UACGGGGGGAGCAAGCGUUGUUCGGAUUUACUGGCGUAAAGGGCGCGUAGGCGGUCAGCACAAGUCAGUUGUGAAAUCUCCGGGCUUAACUCGGAAAGGUCAACUGAUACUGUGCGACUAGAGUGCGGAAGGGGCAACUGGAAUUCUCGGUGUAGCGGUGAAAUGCGUAGAUAUCGAGAGGAACACCUGCGGCGAAGGCGGGUUGCUGGGCCGACACUGACGCUGACAGCGCGAAAGCCAGGGGAGCAAACGGG